rnacentral:rRNA from 1 species
AUUGAACGCUGGCGGCAGGCCUAACACAUGCAAGUCGAGCGGCAGCGGGAAAGUAGCUUGCUACUUUUGUCGGCGAGCGGCGGACGGGUGAGUAAUGCCUGGGGAUCUGCCCAGUCGAGGGGGAUAACUACUGGGAAAGGUAGCUAAUACCGCAUACGCGCUUCGGGGGAAAGCAGGGGACCUUCGGGCGUUGCGCGAAUGGAUGAACCAAGGUGGGAUUAGCUAGUUGGUGAGGUAAUGGCUCACCAAGGCGACGAUCCCUAGCUGGUCUGAGAGGAUGAUCAGCCACACUGGAACUGAGACACGGUCCAGACUCCUACGGGAGGCAGCAGUGGGGAAUAUUGCACAAUGGGCGCAAGCCUGAUGCAGCCAUGCCGCGUGUAUGAAGAAGGCCUUCGGGUUGUAAAGUACUUUCAGUCGUGAGGAAGGUUGUAGCGUUAAUAGCGUUAUGAUUUGACGUUAGCGACAGAAGAAGCACCGGCUAACUCCGUGCCAGCAGCCGCAGUAAAAC